CUUUUCUGAAUCUAGUGGCGAACGGGUGAGUAACACGUAGGUAACCUGCCCAUGUGCCCGGGAUAACUUCUGGAAACGGCUGCUAAUACCGCAUAACACAUCGGGGUGGCAUCAUCCUGAUGUCAAAGGAGCAAUCCGCUGAAAGAUGGCCUCGCGUCUGAUUAGCUAGUUGGUGAGGUAACGGCCCACCAAGGCGAUGAUCAGUAGCCGGUCUGAGAGGAUGAACGGCCACAUUGGGACUGAGACACGGCCCAAACUCC
rnacentral:rRNA from 1 species